rnacentral:rRNA from 1 species
CCUACGGGGUGCAGCAGUGGGGAAUAUUGGACAAUGGGGGGAACCCUGAUCCAGCGACGCCGCGUGAGUGAAGAAGUAUUUCGGUAUGUACAGCUCUAUCAGCAGGGAAGAAAGAAAUGACGGUACCUGACUAAGAAGCCCCGGCUAACUACGUGCCAGCAGCCGCGGUAAUACGUAGGGGGCAAGCGUUAUCCGGAUGUACUGGGUGUAAAGGGAGCGUAGACGGCGAUGCAAGUCUGAAGUGAAAGGCGGGGGCCCAACCCCUGGGCUGCUUUGGAAACUGUAUGGCUGGAGUGCAGGAGAGGUAAGUGGAAUUCCUAGUGUAGCGGUGAAAUGCGUAGAUAUUAGGAGGAACACCGGUGGCGAAGGCGGCUUACUGGACCGUAACUGACGUUGAGGCUCGAAAGCGUGGGGAGCAAACAGGAUUAGAUACCCCAGUAGUC